rnacentral:rRNA from 1 species
GAUGAACGCUAGCGGGAGGCCUAACACAUGCAAGCCGAGCGGUAUUGUUUCUUCGGAAAUGAGAGAGCGGCGUACGGGUGCGUAACACGUGUGCAACCUGCCUUUAUCUGGGGGAUAGCCUUUCGAAAGGAAGAUUAAUACUCCAUAAUAUAUUGAACGGCAUCGUUUAAUAUUGAAAGCUCCGGCGGAUAGAGAUGGGCACGCGCAAGAUUAGCUAGUUGGUGAGGUAACGGCACACCAAGGCGAUGAUCUUUAGGGGGCCUGAGAGGGUGAUCCCCCACGCAGGUACUGAGACACGGACCAGACUCCUACGAGAGGCAGCAGUGAGGAAUAUUGGUCAAUGGGUGAAAGCCUGAACCAGCCAUCCCGCGUGAAGGACGACUGCCCUAUGGGUUGUAAACUUCUUUUGUAUAGGGAUAAACCUACCCUCGUGAGGGUAGCUGAAGGUACUAUACGAAUAAGCACCGGCUAACUCCGUGCCAGCAGCCGCAGUAAUAC